rnacentral:rRNA from 1 species
AGGACGAACGCUGGCGGCGUGCUUAACACAUGCAAGUCGAGCGGAAAGGCCCUUCGGGGUACUCGAGCGGCGAACGGGUGAGUAACACGUGGGCAACCUGCCCUUAGCUCUGGGAUAGCUCCGGGAAACCGGAAUUAAUACCGGAUAUGACCUAGGCCGACAUCGGCCGUGGUGGAAAGUUUUUCGGCUAGGGAUGGACUCGCGGCCUAUCAGCUAGUUGGUGGGGUAAUGGCCUACCAAGGCGACGACGGGUAGCCGGCCUGAGAGGGCGACCGGCCAACGACUGGGACUGAGACACGGCCCAGACUCCUACGGGAGGCAGCAGUGGGGAAUCUUGCGCAAUGGGCGAAAGCCUGACGCAGCGACGCCGCGUGGGGGAUGAAGGCCUUCGGGUUGUAAACCCUUUCAGCAGGGACGAAGCGAAAGUGACGGUACCUGCAGAAGAAGCGCCGGCUAACGUACGUGCCAGCAGCCGC